UAAGCGACUAAGCGUACACGGUGGAUGCCCUGGCAGUCAGAGGCGAUGAAGGACGUGCUAAUCUGCGAUAAGCGUCGGUAAGGUGAUAUGAACCGUUAUAACCGGCGAUUUCCGAAUGGGGAAACCCAGUGUGUUUCGACACACUAUCAUUAACUGAAUCCAUAGGUUAAUGAGGCGAACCGGGGGAACUGAAACAUCUAAGUACCCCGAGGAAAAGAAAUCAACCGAGAUUCCCCCAGUAGCGGCGAGCGAACGGGGAGCAGCCCAGAGCCUGAAUCAGUGUGUGUGUUAGUGGAAGCGUCUGGAAAGGCGCGCGAUACAGGGUGACAGCCCCGUACACAAAAAUGCACAUGCUGUGAGCUCGAUGAGUAGGGCGGGACACGUGGUAUCCUGUCUGAAUAUGGGGGGACCAUCCUCCAAGGCUAAAUACUCCUGACUGACCGAUAGUGAACCAGUACCGUGAGGGAAAGGCGAAAAGAACCCCGGCGAGGGGAGUGAAAAAGAACCUGAAACCGUGUACGUACAAGCAGUGGGAGCACGCUUAGGCGUGUGACUGCGUACCUUUUGUAUAAUGGGUCAGCGACUUAUAUUCUGUAGCAAGGUUAACCGAAUAGGGGAGCCGAAGGGAAACCGAGUCUUAACUGGGCGUUAAGUUGCAGGGUAUAGACCCGAAACCCGGUGAUCUAGCCAUGGGCAGGUUGAAGGUUGGGUAACACUAACUGGAGGACCGAACCGACUAAUGUUGAAAAAUUAGCGGAUGACUUGUGGCUGGGGGUGAAAGGCCAAUCAAACCGGGAGAUAGCUGGUUCUCCCCGAAAGCUAUUUAGGUAGCGCCUCGUGAAUUCAUCUCCGGGGGUAGAGCACUGUUUCGGCAAGGGGGUCAUCCCGACUUACCAACCCGAUGCAAACUGCGAAUACCGGAGAAUGUUAUCACGGGAGACACACGGCGGGUGCUAACGUCCGUCGUGAAGAGGGAAACAACCCAGACCGCCAGCUAAGGUCCCAAAGUCAUGGUUAAGUGGGAAACGAUGUGGGAAGGCCCAGACAGCCAGGAUGUUGGCUUAGAAGCAGCCAUCAUUUAAAGAAAGCGUAAUAGCUCACUGGUCGAGUCGGCCUGCGCGGAAGAUGUAACGGGGCUAAACCAUGCACCGAAGCUGCGGCAGCGACGCUUAUGCGUUGUUGGGUAGGGGAGCGUUCUGUAAGCCUGCGAAGGUGUGCUGUGAGGCAUGCUGGAGGUAUCAGAAGUGCGAAUGCUGACAUAAGUAACGAUAAAGCGGGUGAAAAGCCCGCUCGCCGGAAGACCAAGGGUUCCUGUCCAACGUUAAUCGGGGCAGGGUGAGUCGACCCCUAAGGCGAGGCCGAAAGGCGUAGUCGAUGGGAAACAGGUUAAUAUUCCUGUACUUGGUGUUACUGCGAAGGGGGGACGGAGAAGGCUAUGUUGGCCGGGCGACGGUUGUCCCGGUUUAAGCGUGUAGGCUGGUUUUCCAGGCAAAUCCGGAAAAUCAAGGCUGAGGCGUGAUGACGAGGCACUACGGUGCUGAAGCAACAAAUGCCCUGCUUCCAGGAAAAGCCUCUAAGCAUCAGGUAACAUCAAAUCGUACCCCAAACCGACACAGGUGGUCAGGUAGAGAAUACCAAGGCGCUUGAGAGAACUCGGGUGAAGGAACUAGGCAAAAUGGUGCCGUAACUUCGGGAGAAGGCACGCUGAUAUGUAGGUGAGGUCCCUCGCGGAUGGAGCUGAAAUCAGUCGAAGAUACCAGCUGGCUGCAACUGUUUAUUAAAAACACAGCACUGUGCAAACACGAAAGUGGACGUAUACGGUGUGACGCCUGCCCGGUGCCGGAAGGUUAAUUGAUGGGGUUAGCCGCAAGGCGAAGCUCUUGAUCGAAGCCCCGGUAAACGGCGGCCGUAACUAUAACGGUCCUAAGGUAGCGAAAUUCCUUGUCGGGUAAGUUCCGACCUGCACGAAUGGCGUAAUGAUGGCCAGGCUGUCUCCACCCGAGACUCAGUGAAAUUGAACUCGCUGUGAAGAUGCAGUGUACCCGCGGCAAGACGGAAAGACCCCGUGAACCUUUACUAUAGCUUGACACUGAACAUUGAGCCUUGAUGUGUAGGAUAGGUGGGAGGCUUAGAAGUGUGGACGCCAGUCUGCAUGGAGCCGACCUUGAAAUACCACCCUUUAAUGUUUGAUGUUCUAACGUUGACCCGUAAUCCGGGUUGCGGACAGUGUCUGGUGGGUAGUUUGACUGGGGCGGUCUCCUCCUAAAGAGUAACGGAGGAGCACGAAGGUUGGCUAAUCCUGGUCGGACAUCAGGAGGUUAGUGCAAUGGCAUAAGCCAGCUUGACUGCGAGCGUGACGGCGCGAGCAGGUGCGAAAGCAGGUCAUAGUGAUCCGGUGGUUCUGAAUGGAAGGGCCAUCGCUCAACGGAUAAAAGGUACUCCGGGGAUAACAGGCUGAUACCGCCCAAGAGUUCAUAUCGACGGCGGUGUUUGGCACCUCGAUGUCGGCUCAUCACAUCCUGGGGCUGAAGUAGGUCCCAAGGGUAUGGCUGUUCGCCAUUUAAAGUGGUACGCGAGCUGGGUUUAGAACGUCGUGAGACAGUUCGGUCCCUAUCUGCCGUGGGCGCUGGAGAACUGAGGGGGGCUGCUCCUAGUACGAGAGGACCGGAGUGGACGCAUCACUGGUGUUCGGGUUGUCAUGCCAAUGGCACUGCCCGGUAGCUAAAUGCGGAAGAGAUAAGUGCUGAAAGCAUCUAAGCACGAAACUUGCCCCGAGAUGAGUUCUCCCUGACCCUUUAAGGGUCCUGAAGGAACGUUGAAGACGACGACGUUGAUAGGCCGGGUGUGUAAGCGCAGCGAUGCGUUGAGCUAACCGGUACUAAUGAACCGUGAGGCUUAACCU
rnacentral:rRNA from 1 species